GUGCUUGCUUCAGCAGCACAUAUACUAAAACUGGAACGAUACAGAGAAGAUUAGCAUGGCCCCUGUGCAAGGAUGACACGCAAAUUCGAGAAGCGUUCCAUAAUUAA
rnacentral:snRNA from 1 species